rnacentral:rRNA from 1 species
AGUGAACGCUGGCGGCAUGCCUAACACAUGCAAGUCGAACGAAGCCUUCGGGCUUAGUGGCGCACGGGUGCGUAACACGUGGGAAUCUGCCCUUCGGUUCGGAAUAACAGUUAGAAAUGACUGCUAAUACCGGAUGAUGACGUAAGUCCAAAGAUUUAUCGCCGAAGGAUGAGCCCGCGUAGGAUUAGGUAGUUGGUAGGGUAAUGGCCUACCAAGGCUACGAUGGUUAGCUGGUCUGAGAGGAUGGCCAGCCACACUGGAACUGAGACACGGUCCAGACUCCUACGGGAGGCAGCAGUGAGGAAUCUUGCGCAAUGGGGGAAACCCUGACGCAGCAACGCCGCGUGAGUGAGGAAGGCCUUCGGGUCGUAAAGCUCUGUCAGAUGGGAAGAAAUGGAUGGGGGCUAAUAUCGCCCAUCCUUGACGGUACCAUCAGAGGAAGCACCGGCUAACUCCGUG